ensembl:snRNA U6 U6 spliceosomal RNA
AUACUUCCUCAGGCAGCACGUCAACUAAAAUUGGAGCAAUACAGAGUAGAUUGGCAUGGCCCUGCUCAAGGAUAUCAUAGAAAAUCAUGUAAGCGCUCCUCUUUUUU